rnacentral:rRNA from 1 species
GACGAACGCUGGCGGCGUGCUUAACACAUGCAAGUCGAACGGAAAGGCCCUGCUUUUGUGGGGUGCUCGAGUGGCGAACGGGUGAGUAACACGUGAGUAACCUGCCCUUGACUUUGGGAUAACUUCAGGAAACUGGGGCUAAUACCGGAUAGGAGCUCCUGCUGCAUGGUGGGGGUUGGAAAGUUUCGGCGGUUGGGGAUGGACUCGCGGCUUAUCAGCUUGUUGGUGGGGUAGUGGCUUACCAAGGCUUUGACGGGUAGCCGGCCUGAGAGGGUGACCGGCCACAUUGGGACUGAGAUACGGCUCAGACUCCUACGGGAGGCAGCAGUGGGGAAUAUUGCACAAUGGGCGGAAGCCUGAUGCAGCAACGCCGCGUGCGGGAUGACGGCCUUCGGGUUGUAAACCGCUUUCGCCUGUGACGAAGCGUGAGUGACGGUAAUGGGUAAAGAAGCACCGGCUAACUACGUGCCAGCAGCCGCGGUGAUACGUAGGGUGCGAGCGUUGUCCGGAUUUAUUGGGCGUAAAGGGCUCGUAGGUGGUUGAUCGCGUCGGAAGUGUAAUCUUGGGGCUUAACCCUGAGCGUGCUUUCGAUACGGGUUGACUUGAGGAAGGUAGGGGAGAAUGGAAUUCCUGGUGGAGCGGUGGAAUGCGCAGAUAUCAGGAGGAACACCAGUGGCGAAGGCGGUUCUCUGGGCCUUUCCUGACGCUGAGGAGCGAAAGCGUGGGGAGCGAACAGGCUUAGAUACCCUGGUAGUCCACGCUGUAAACGGUGGGUACUAGGUGUGGGGUCCAUUCCACGGGUUCCGUGCCGUAGCUAACGCUUUAAGUACCCCGCCUGGGGAGUACGGCCGCAAGGCUAAAACUCAAAGGAAUUGACGGGGCCCCGCACAAGCGGCGGAGCAUGCGGAUUAAUUCGAUGCAACGCGUAGAACCUUACCUGGGUUUGACAUGGAUCGGGAGCGCUCAGAGAUGGGUGUGCCUCUUUUGGGGUCGGUUCACAGGUGGUGCAUGGCUGUCGUCAGCUCGUGUCGUGAGAUGUUGGGUUAAGUCCCGCAACGAGCGCAACCCUUGUUCACUGUUGCCAGCACGUUAUGGUGGGGACUCAGUGGAGACCGCCGGGGUCAACUCGGAGGAAGGUGGGGAUGACGUCAAGUCAUCAUGCCCCUUAUGUCCAGGGCUUCACGCAUGCUACAAUGGCUGGUACAGAGAGUGGCGAGCCUGUGAGGGUGAGCGAAUCUCGGAAAGCCGGUCUCAGUUCGGAUUGGGGUCUGCAACUCGACCUCAUGAAGUCGGAGUCGCUAGUAAUCGCAGAUCAGCAACGCUGCGGUGAAUACGUUCCCGGG